UCAGGAGCAUUUUUUGAUGGACCAUCACACAGUAGAUUUAUAGAAAUGAGACUAUGGAACAUCAGACGGAAGCUUCAACAGAGCCAGCGGAUGUACAGUUUGAAAUGUCGUCAGUGUACACAGCAACCAUCUUUGUCAAGUCCAGAUGAAACUGUGCCAAGUGAUUGGUUGACCCUGAUAAAGAGGAUGCGACCAUCACCAGAGAAUUCAUAAUCAAUAAAGACUACAGUUGACCAAACCUUCAGUUACCAAAAGAGAUGGAUAACGACAAUAUCCCCAACUGUUGCUGAAAUCUUCAAGGAAUAUCACGGAUUUCUUGACAUGCCAGCCUUGCAUUGAGGAUGGACAUAGAAUUUUCCAAGCUCACAGAUGGAAAAGAAAACUUGCUCAUACGGAAAUGGGAAGAGACCAUAAUUCCAAAGCUCAAGGAAGUAGCAUCCUUGGAGAAGAAAAAUGACAUCAAACACUUUCUGGAGAAAGCUGACAAUCAGCAUGAUGAUGAGUUGUGUUAAACUAUGUUGAAGAUCCUCAUUCAUCUUCUUCCACCCACGGCAUCUGGGAGAAGUGUUGCUGGCAUUUAAUGCUGUGUGAACUCUGCAGUCUCAUACCUGUUGGAGCAAGUGCCGGCUGGUACCAACGUGACCUCCUUGCUCAGUGAAUCCAUGAAAGGUUCCCUCUAGGACAUGGAGCCCAGUAUGUAAUUGUGGCAAAGAAUGAUUCUUUUGGCCUUCCACUUGAUGUUGGAAGCCUGACCUGUUCUGUAGACAGACUUUCUCAAAUUCUUCUGGCUGUGCAAUCUUCAGUGUCCAUGCCAACUGUCCUCUGUUUUCAAAUUUAUGAGUAUUUUUUUUAAAUGACUGUGCCAAAUGCUUUCCCAGUUGUGAUUGGAUCUUUGUAGAAGGAAGAGCUUAAGACAGACUCAUUUUGAGACUCACUUAUACCAGUUCAAUUCAUGUUACGAAUAAUAUCAGUUUUUUUGGGAACAACAUACCGGACAAGAUGCGUUCAGACUUUAAAAGAAGAUAAAAGGGAAGAACCAUUAUUUGGUGAGGUUAUACACAUUAUUCCCCAAAGUGAAAGAGAAUGUGCACGUAUGUUCUUGAGUUUUAAGAGUUAAAUAUUUUGAUGAACACCUUUUUUCCUUCACUGUCAUCAGAACUAAAGAUUAUGACAUGGCAAAGCUGCCUGGUGACUUAAUAGAUUACAGACCUUUAGAUAUUGUAUCAUUUUGUGAUCAGCAAUAUGUAACUCCUAAAUACAAAAUUUAGUUUUAAACAUGUUAGUUGUUGAAACUGUUGAACACAAUGUUUUGACCAGAUUUGAAAAUGAAUUAAUUUAUUAAGAUGA